AUCGAAAUGUAAAUAAGAAAUACUCAAGUUAAUAAAGGUUAAAAAAAAAAGAAAACAAAGAGGAAAUAUGUAUACCACCAAAUUGUUGAAUUGCUGGUGCCUACAACUUCACAGUGCCACUGUGAGCAGUUGCUGUUGAGGGUCUUGAUCAAUGAAACAUUAAAAAGCAAAAGUAAUCCACAUAUCAUCACUUCAUGGAAUUGUCCGAGCCCCAACAUGUAUAUUUUUUAAAUAAACUUACACUUUUAGAUUUU